rnacentral:rRNA from 1 species
AUUGAACGCUGGCGGCAGGCCUAACACAUGCAAGUCGAGCGGAGCGGCGGACGGGUGCGUAAUGCCUAUGUAUCUGCCUGGUCGUGGUGGAUAACGUCCGGUACCGGGCGCUAAUACCGCUUCCUAUCAGAUUAGCCUAGGUCGGAUUAGCUUGUUGGGGGGGUAAAGGCCUACCAAGGCGACGAUCCGUAACUGGUCUGAGAGGAUGAUCAGUCACACUGGAACUGAGACACGGUCCAGACUCCUACGGGAGGCAGCAGUGGGGAAUAUUGGACAAUGGGCGAAAGCCUGAUCCAGCCAUGCCGCGUGUGUGAAGAAGGUCUUCGGAUUGUAAAGCACUUUAAGUUGGGAGGCGUUACCAACAGAAUAAGCACCGGCUAACUUCGUGCCAGCAGCCGCGGUAAUAC